ensembl:snoRNA
AGUGCUGUUGAAGGAUGAAGCCUUUGAGUGAUCCAUCAGCAGGGCAUGAUGUUGCCAUCCUGACACUCAUGCUGCUGACAAUGCAAU